rnacentral:ncRNA from 2 species
UACGGAGGGUGCAAGCGUUGUCCGGAAUCAUUGGGUGUAAAGGGUGCGUAGGCGGGCGUCUAAGUCUGGGGUGAAAUCUUGCCGCUUAACGGUAAAAUGGCCUUGGAUACUGGACGUCUUGAGUGUAGAAGAGGUAAGUGGAAUUCGUAGUGUAGCGGUGAAAUGCAUAGAUAUUACGAAGAACAUCAGUGGCGAAGGCGGCUUACUGGUCUACAACUGACGCUGAGGCACGAAAGCGUGGGGAGCGAACAGG